AUGCUUCUUUGAUGUUUUUGCACUGGGCUCUGAACUGGUCUGUAGACAAUGUGCGGUUCUGCUCUUGACAUGGCAGAAUCUGAGAAGUGC